rnacentral:rRNA from 1 species
CUUGACGGUACCUAAUCAGAAAGCCACGGCUAACUACGUGCCAGCAGCCGCGGUAAUACGUAGGUGGCAAGCGUUAUCCGGAAUUAUUGGGCGUAAAGCGCGCGUAGGCGGUCUCUUAAGUCUGAUGUGAAAGCCCACGGCUCAACCGUGGAGGGUCAUUGGAAACUGGGAGACUUGAGUGCAGAAGAGGAAAGUGGAAUUCCAUGUGUAGCGGUGAAAUGCGCAGAGAUAUGGAGGAACACCAGUGGCGAAGGCGACUUUCUGGUCUGUAACUGACGCUGAUGUGCGAAAGCGUGGGGAUCAAACAGGAUUAGAUACCCUGGUAGUCCACGCCGUAAACGAUGAGUGCUAAGUGUUAGGGGGUUUCCGCCCCUUAGUGCUGCAGCUAA